rnacentral:rRNA from 1 species
UGCCAGACUCCUACGGGAGGCAGCAGUGGGGAAUAUUGGGCAAUGGGCGCAAGCCUGACCCAGCAACGCCGCGUGAAGGAAGAAGGCCCUCGGGUUGUAAACUUCUUUUAUCAGGGACGAAACAAAUGACGGUACCUGAUGAAUAAGCCACGGCUAACUACGUGCCAGCAGCCGCGGUAAUACGUAGGUGGCAAGCGUUAUCCGGAUUUACUGGGUGUAAAGGGCGUGUAGGCGGGUCUGCAAGUCAGAUGUGAAAUUCCAGGGCUCAACCCAUAGCCUGCAUUUGAAACUGUACUUCUUGAGUGCUGGAGAGGCAAUCGGAAUUCCGUGUGUAGCGGUGAAAUGCGUAGAUAUACGGAGGAACACCAGUGGCGAAGGCGGAUUGCUGGACAGUAACUGACGCUGAGGCGCGAAAGCGUGGGGAGCAAACAGGAUUAGAUACCCGCGUA